GACGAACGCUGGCGGCGUGCUUAACACAUGCAAGUCGAACGGAAAGGCCCUGCUUUUGUGGGGUGCUCGAGUGGCGAACGGGUGAGUAACACGUGAGUAGCCUGCCCUUGACUUUGGGAUAACUUCAGGAAACUGGGGCUAAUACCGGAUAGGAGCUCCUGCUGCAUGGUGGGGGUUGGAAAGUUUCGGCGGUCGGGGAUGGACUCGCGGCUUAUCAGCUUGUUGGUGGGGUAGUGGCUUACCAAGGCUUUGACGGGUAGCCGGCCUGAGAGGGUGACCGGCCACAUUGGGACUGAGAUACGGCCCAGACUCCUACGGGAGGCAGCAGUGGGGAAUAUUGCACAAUGGGCGGAAGCCUGAUGCAGCAACGCCGCGUGCGGGAUGACGGCCUUCGGGUUGUAAACCGCUUUCGCCUGUGACGAAGCGUGAGUGACGGUAAUGGGUAAAGAAGCACCGGCUAACUACGUG
rnacentral:rRNA from 1 species